rnacentral:RNase_P_RNA from 1 species
GUCAGUCGGGCAGCCGCUGCUGCAGUACGUGUUUUCAAACGGCUGCAGGAGAGGAAAGUCCGGGCUUUACAGGACAGGGUGCCAGAUAACGUCUGGGGAGCGUAAGCUCACGACCAGUGCAACAGAAAGCAAACCGCCGGUUUUCCGGUAAGGGUGAAAUGGUGCGGUAAGAGCGCACCGCGCCGGCAGUAAUGUUCGGCGGCAGGGUAAACUCCACCCAAAGCAAGAUCGAAUAGGCCUCCAUCAGGUGUGGUCCGCACCGGGGGCGGGUAGAUCGCUUGAGCCUGCAGGUGACUGCAGGCCUAGAUGAAUGGCUGCCGCUGCGCAAGCAGACAGAACCCGGCUUACAGACUGACCU